rnacentral:lncRNA from 1 species
GGCUCAUGGAGUUAAAAUUUUGUGUUCUGUACAGAUUUGAGAUGAUAGAAAUUCAAAAUAGGUAAACCAAUAAGCCAUGUUUUUCUUUGGUGUUGCAGUUGUCAUGUGUCACAAGUUAUAUAUGUGUGUUCAUAAUUAUAACUGCACUUUGUCCUUGUCUUUGCAAGUGUGAUAUAUGCAUGUUCAUAAUUAUAUUUUAGUCCUAAUUUUCAGAUCAUGACCACAGCUUGCGGAGUUUCAAAAUCUAACAUCUCUAAUUUCCGCAUCAAGCUAAGUGGUCCCGUUGUUUAGCAUUUAGGCACUUUCUAUUUGUUGCUUCAAUGUAAUGUUUAAGGUUGUUGCUUUAACAGUGUUUGAUCUAGAUUAUCAGUAAAACACACUCACAAUUAGGUGUUCUUCCUUGGUU